rnacentral:rRNA from 1 species
UUUCUUCGGAAUGACGAGUAUUGUGACUGAGCGGCGGACGGGUGAGGAACGCGUGGGUAACCUGCCCUGUACAGGGGGAUAACACAGAGAAAUCUGUGCUAAAACCGCAUAAGCUCACGGGACCGCAUGGUCUUGGGAGAAAAACUCCGGUGGUACAGGAUGGGCCCGCGUCUGAUUAGCUAGUUGGAGAGGUAAGAGCUCACCAAGGCGACGAUCAGUAGCCGGUCUGAGAGGAUGGACGGCCACAUUGGGACUGAGACACGGCCCAAACUCC